rnacentral:rRNA from 1 species
AGAGUUUGAUCAUGGCUCAGGACGAACGCUGGCGGCGUGCCUAAUGCAUGCAAGUCGAGCGGGCUACGAUCUUCGGAUUGUAGCUUAGCGGCGAACGGGUGAGUAACACGUAGGUGAUCUACCCUUCAGAGGAGGACAACCUCAGGAAACUGAGGCUAAACCUUCAUACGUUCACUGGUAGGGAUACUGGUGAAGAAAGAGUUACCCCUAGAGGGUAGCUGCUGAAGGAUGAGCCUGCGGCCCAUCAGGUAGUUGGUGAGGUAACGGCUCACCAAGCCGAAGACGGGUAACCGGUCUGAGAGGAUGUCCGGUCACACUGGGACUGAGACACGGCCCAGACUCCUACGGGAGGCAGCAGCAGGGAAUCUUGGGCAAUGGGCGAAAGCCUGACCCAGCGACGCCGCGUGGAGGAAGAAGUCCUUCGGGGCGUAAACUCCUGGACUGGGGGACGAGGAAGGACGGUACCCCA